UGAACGCUAGCGGCAGGCUUAACACAUGCAAGUCGAGGGGCAGCAUGAUGUAGCAAUACAUUGAUGGCGACCGGCGCAAGGGUGCGUAACGCGUGAGUAACAUGCCCGUAUCAGGGGGAUAACCCGAAGAAAUUCGGACUAAUACCCCAUAGUAAUUUGUGGAGGCAUCUCUAUGAAUUUAAAGCUCCGGCGGAUACGGAUUGACUCGCGUGACAUUAGCUAGAUGGUAAGGUAGCGGCUUACCAUGGCGACGAUGUCUAGGGGUUCUGAGAGGAAGGUCCCCCACACUGGAACUGAGACACGGUCCAGACUCCUACGGGAGGCAGCAGUGAGGAAUAUUGGUCAAUGGGCGAGAGCCUGAACCAGCCAAGUAGCGUGAAGGAAGACUGCCCUAUGGGUUGUAAACUUCUUUUAUACGGGAAUAAAACCACCUACGUGUAGGUGCUUGUAUGUACCGUAUGAAUAAGCAUCGGCUAACUCCGUG
rnacentral:rRNA from 1 species